AAAUAUCCUAUAUGCCCUUGGAUAUAUAUUUUUUUAAUAGAUAAAUUGAACGUUUAAUAUUAGUUUAUAGUUUAAAUCCAUUUGAAUAAAAAAGUAAAUGAAGAGAGACUCCUCUCUCCUUUUUUUUCUUUUUUUCCUUCACCUUUCCUUUUUCCUUUAUUUUCCUUCUCCUUUCCUUUUUUCUCCACGUUCUCCAUCUGCCUUAUCUCAUUUUCCCCGUCUCCUCUCUUCUGCCGCCCAGCUCCCCAUCGCUGCCUGGCCCUCGGGUCCCCCGGCGCCGCCUCGGCUCGUCGCCAUACCCAUCGCCGCGCC
rnacentral:lncRNA from 1 species